UCUGGGCAGAGCUGCAGGAGAGA
rnacentral:miRNA from 1 species